CCUACGGGAGGCAGCAGUAAGGAAUAUUGGUCAAUGGAGGCAACUCUGAACCAGCCAUGCCGCGUGCAGGAAGACAGCCCUCUGGGUCGUAAACUGCUUUUAUUCGGGAAUAAACCUUAUUACGUGUAAUAAGCUGAAUGUACCGAAGGAAUAAGGAUCGGCUAACUCCGUGCCAGCAGCCGCGGUAAUACGGAGGAUCCAAGCGUUAUCCGGAUUUAUUGGGUUUAAAGGGUGCGUAGGCGGCUUAUUAAGUCAGGGGUGAAAGACGGUGGCUCAACCAUCGCAGUGCCUUUGAUACUGAUGAGCUUGAAUGAACUAGAGGUAGGCGGAAUGUGACAAGUAGCGGUGAAAUGCAUAGAUAUGUCACAGAACACCGAUUGCGAAGGCAGCUUACUAUGGUUUUAUUGACGCUGAGGCACGAAAGCGUGGGGAUCAAACAGGACUAGAUACCCUGGUAGUCCACGCCCUAAACGAUGAAUACUCGCUGUUAGCGAUAUACAGUUAGCGGCUAAGCGAAAGCGUUAAGUAUUCCACCUGGGGAGUACGCCCGCAAGGGU
rnacentral:rRNA from 1 species